UACGGAGGGGGCUAGCGUUGUUCGGAAUUACUGGGCGUAAAGCGCGCGUAGGCGGAUCUGCAAGUCGGACGUGAAAUCCCUCGGCUCAACCGGGGAACUGCGUCCGAUACUGGCGGGCUUGAAUUCGGGAGAGGGAUGUGGAAUUCCAGGUGUAGCGGUGAAAUGCGUAGAUAUCUGGAGGAACACCGGUGGCGAAGGCGGCAUCCUGGACCGACAUUGACGCUGAGGCGCGAAAGCCAGGGGAGCAAACGGG
rnacentral:rRNA from 1 species